UACGUAGGGUGCAAGCGUUAAUCGGAAUUACUGGGCGUAAAGCGUGCGCAGGCGGUCUUGCAAGACAGAUGUGAAAUCCCCGGGCUUAACCUGGGAACUGCAUUUGUGACUGCAAGGCUGGAGUACGGUAGAGGGGGAUGGAAUUCCGCGUGUAGCAGUGAAAUGCGUAGAUAUGCGGAGGAACACCCGUGGCGAAGGCGGUUCUCUGGGACGGUACUGACGCUGAGACGCGAAAGCGUGGGGAGCGAACAGG
rnacentral:rRNA from 1 species